GCCUGGGUGGCUUAGUCGAUUAAGUGUACGACUUCGACUCAGGUCAUGAUCUCGUGGUUUGUGGGUUCGAGCCCCACGUCGGGCU
rnacentral:tRNA from 1 species